rnacentral:rRNA from 1 species
GAUGAACGCUGGCGGCGUGCUUAACACAUGCAAGUCGAACGAGAAGUGGAGACGGAAACCUUCGGGCGGAAGACUUUACUUCGAGUGGCGGACGGGUGAGUAACGCGUGGGUAACCUGCCUCAUACAGGGGGAUAACAGUUGGAAACGACUGUUAAUACCGCAUAAGACCACAGCACCGCAUGGUGCGGGGGUAAAAACUCCGGUGGUAUGAGAUGGACCCGCGUUCGAUUAGCCAGUUGGCGGGGUAACGGCCCACCAAAGCGACGAUCGAUAGCCGAUCCGGGAGGAUGACCGGCCAAAUUGGGAAUGAGGCAAGGCCCCAAAUCCUACGGGAGGGCGGAGUGGGGAAUAUUGGCAAAUGGGGGAAAACCUGAAGGAGCGAAGCCGGGGGGGGGAAGAAGUAAUUCGGUAAGGAAAGGCCUAUCAGGAAGGAAGAAAAUGAAAGUAACCUGGUAAGGAAGCCCGGCUAACUACGUG